UACGUAGGGGCUAGCGUUAUCCGGAAUUACUGGGCGUAAAGGGUGCGUAGGCGGUCUUUCAAGCCAGAAGUGAAAGGCUACGGCUCAACCGUAGUAAGCUCUUGAAACUGUAAGACUUGAGUGCAGGAGAGGAGAGUGGAAUUCCUAGUGUAGCGGUGAAAUGCGUAGAUAUUAGGAGGAACACCAGUAGCGAAGGCGGCUCUCUGGACUGUAACUGACGCUGAGGCACGAAAGCGUGGGGAGCAAACAGGAUUAGAUACCCGUGUAGU
rnacentral:rRNA from 1 species